rnacentral:rRNA from 1 species
AUUGAACGCUGGCGGCAGGCCUAACACAUGCAAGUCGAACGGUAACAGGAAACAGCUUGCUGUUUCGCUGACGAGUGGCGGACGGGUGAGUAAUGUCUGGGAAACUGCCUGAUGGAGGGGGAUAACUACUGGAAACGGUAGCUAAUACCGCAUAACGUCGCAAGACCAAAGAGGGGGACCUUCGGGCCUCUUGCCAUCGGAUGUGCCCAGAUGGGAUUAGCUUGUUGGUGGGGUAACGGCUCACCAAGGCGACGAUCCCUAGCUGGUCUGAGAGGAUGACCAGCCACACUGGAACUGAGACACGGUCCAGACUCCUACGGGAGGCAGCAGUGGGGAAUAUUGCACAAUGGGCGCAAGCCUGAUGCAGCCAUGCCGCGUGUAUGAAGAAGGCCUUCGGGUUGUAAAGUACUUUCAGCGGGGAGGAAGGGAGUAAAGUUAAUACCUUUACUCAUUGACGUUACCCGCAGAAGAAGCACCGGCUAACUCCGUGCCAGCCGCCGCGGUAAGAC